rnacentral:rRNA from 1 species
UACGGAGGGUGCAAGCGUUAUCCGGAUUCACUGGGUUUAAAGGGUGCGUAGGUGGUUUUGUAAGUCAGCGGUGAAAUCUCCGGGCUUAACUCGGAAAGGUCAGCCGAUACUGCGGGGCUAGAGUGCAGAAGGGGCAACUGGAAUUCUCGGUGUAGCGGUGAAAUGCGUAGAUAUCGAGAGGAACACCUGCGGCGAAGGCGGGUUGCUGGGCUGACACUGACGCUGAUUGUGCGAAAGCUAGGGGAGCGAACGGG